rnacentral:rRNA from 1 species
CCUACUAGCCUACGACGGGUACGGGUUGUGAGAGCAAGAGCCCGGAGAUGGAUUCUGAGACAUGAAUCCAGGCCCUACGGGGCGCAGCAGGCGCGAAACCUUUACAAUGCGCGCAAGCGCGAUAAGGGGACCUCGAGUGUUCCUACCUAGUAGGAACUGUCCAGUUGUAUAAAAAACAAUUGUUAGCAAGAGCCGGGCAAGACCGGUGCCAGCCGCCGCGGUAACACCGGCGGCUCGAGUGGUGAUCGCUUUUAUUGGGUCUAAAGGGUCUGUAGCCGGUCUAAUAAGUUCUUUGGAAAAUCUGGUCGCUUAACGAUCAGGCUGCUAGGGGAUACUGUUAGACUUGGGACCGGGAGAGGCUAGAGGUACUUUAGGGGUAGGGGUGAAAUCCUGUGAUCCUUAAAGGACCACCAGUGGCGAAGGCGUCUAGCUAGAACGGAUCCGACGGUGAGGGACGAAAGCUGGGGGCACGAACCGGACUAGAUACCCGGGUAGUCCCAGCCGUAAACGAUGCGAGCUAGGUGUCAGUUUUACUGCGAGUAAAAUUGGUGCCGUAGGGAAGCCGUGAAGCUCGCCACCUGGGAAGUACGGCCGCAAGGCUGAAACUUAAAGGAAUUGGCGGG